CAUUUUUGGCUUCGCGCGUACCAUUUUCAUGUUGCUCUCUUCUCUUCUCCUCCACCGAUAGAGCUGGGCUGAAGAGCUGUGGCCGUUCAUUUGAGCAAUCAGGAAUCUCUGCACUUCCGUUCAAUUUUUUUUGUGUGUUUUUGGAGCAGCAAUUGAGCGAUCAACAUAUUCAUCUACGAUGCUUUAUUGUUUGGUUUCAUGAAUCAUUGGGAUGAGGAUCUGGAAGCCUGUAAAGAGGGGUUUUGAUGAGUUUUUCACGAAUGGAGCUCAUUGUUUUAUGACCAGCGCUGGGUAAGUUCCCUUUGGACCCUCGUAUUUUUCCCCAGUCUGAUGUGCAAUUUCUUUUGGGACCACAAUGAAAUGAUUACAUAGCUACUCCACUUGAGUUUAGAUCAUAUAUCACUUGUGGCCAAAAAGCUGAUUGGAUCCACAUUAUCAAUGCCUGUUGCUUUCAAGACUUGCAAAUGGCGAGCAUGUAAAAUGAAUAGACUAGAUACUGUAAAGAACCAGUGCAAGAUGUCACAUUCACAUCGGUAGUCUAUUGUUUCUCUCCAUUUUAGAUAUCUUUAUCAUC